rnacentral:rRNA from 1 species
ACGGCUCACCAAGGCGAUGACGGGUAGCCGGUCUGAGAGGAUGUCCGGCCACACUGGAACUGAGACACGGUCCAGACACCUACGGGUGGCAGCAGUCGAGAAUCAUUCACAAUGGGGGAAACCCUGAUGGUGCGACGCCGCGUGGGGGAAUGAAGGUCUUCGGAUUGUAAACCCCUGUCAUGUGGGAGCAAAUUAAAAAGAUAGUACCACAAGAGGAAGAGACGGCUAACUCUGUGCCAGCAGCCGCGGUAAUACAGAGGUCUCAAGCGUUGUUCGGAAUCACUGGGCGUAAAGCGUGCGUAGGCUGUUUCGUAAGUCGUGUGUGAAAGGCGCGGGCUCAACCCGCGGACGGCACAUGAUACUGCGAGACUAGAGUAAUGGAGGGGGAACCGGAAUUCUCGGUGUAGCAGUGAAAUGCGUAGAUAUCGAGAGGAACACUCGUGGCGAAGGCGGGUUCCUGGACAUUAACUGACGCUGAGGCACGAAGGCCAGGGGAGCGAAAGGGAUUAGAUACCCCUGUAGUCCUGGCAGUAAACGGUGCACGCUUGGUGUGCGGGGAAUCGACCCCCUGCGUGCCGGAGCUAACGCGUUAAGCGUGCCGCCUGGGGAGUACGGUCGCAAGAUUAAAACUCAAAGAAAUUGACGGGGACCCGCACAAGCGGUGGAGUAUGUGGCUUAAUUCGAUGCAACGCGAAGAACCUUACCUGGGCUUGACAUGUAAUGAACAACAUGUGAAAGCAUGCGACUCUUCGGAGGCGUUACACAGGUGCUGCAUGGCCGUCGUCAGCUCGUGUCGUGAGAUGUUUGGUUAAGUCCAGCAACGAGCGCAACCCCUGUUGCCAGUUACCAGCACGUGAAGGUGGGGACUCUGGCGAGACUGCCCAGAUCAACUGGGAGGAAGGUGGGGACGACGUCAGGUCAGUAUGGCCCUUAUGCCCAGGGCUGCACACGUACUACAAUGCCCAGUACAGAGGGGGCCGAAGCCGCGAGGCGGAGGAAAUCCUAAAAACUGGGCCCAGUUCGGACUGUAGGCUGCAACCCGCCUACACGAAGCCGGAAUCGCUAGUAAUGGCGCAUCAGCUACGGCGCCGUGAAUACGUUCCCGGGUCUUGUACACACCGCCCGUCACAUCAUGGAAGCCGGUC